rnacentral:tRNA from 1 species
GCUCCGUUAGCUCAAUCGUAUAGAGCAAUCGCCUUCUAAGCGAUAGGUUACAAGUUAGAAUCUUGUACGGAGUGCCA